ACAAGCGGAGGAGCAUGUGGUUUAAUUCGAUGAUACGCGAGGAACCUUACCUGGGCUCGAACGUAAGAUGACUGUAGGUGAAAGCUUACAUCUCUUCGGAGCAUUUUACGAGGUGCUGCAUGGUUGUCGUCAGCUCGUGCCGUGAGGUGUCGGGUUAAGUCCCAUAACGAGCGCAACCCCUACCUUUAGUUGCCAUCAGGUUAAGCUGGGGACUCUAAAGGAACUGCCUACGCAAGUAGUGAGGAAGGCGGGGAUGACGUCAAAUCAGCACGGCCCUUACGUCCAGGGCUACACACGUGCUACAAUGGCCGAUACAGAGGGCAGCUACCUGGUGACAGGAUGCAAAUCUCCAAAGUCGGUCUCAGUUCGGAUCGGAGUCUGCAACUCGACUGCGUGAAGUCGGAAUCGCUAGUAAUCGUGAAUCAGAAUGUCACGGUGAAUACGUUCCCGGGCCUU
rnacentral:rRNA from 1 species